CUAUAGUGUUCCUUUAAACCAUUAGAUGUAUAGCUCGCACAGGAAAUGCUAACGAUUUGCUGAUAGCAGGUUCACUUCAUAUUGGUUACAUUUAUAGAUUUUUAUAUUCUUUUAUUUAUAUGCAGAAUAUUGUCUGUCAUAAAGUAAGUUGUGUAUUUAUAUCGGGGAGCGCAAAAAGGUGAUUGCCAAAAGUUUUAAAACUACAACUUCUGUGAUGCUUUGUAAUUGUCAAAGUUGGCAAAUCAUCAUUAGAGUGGUAUUUUAACAGUAUUUAGGGAUCCAGCGUUUGGGUACCCCUGCUUUACCAUAUCCAUUAUCCUUUAAAAUAUAAUAUCAACAAAUAAAAGGAUAAAAGGAUAAAUUACAGUUUUGUGACAUACUAUAGGUAGGACGUAAAUAAAUAAAAAUGUUCAAAUGCCUUAAUAACAGUUGUUAUGCACUAAUAUAGUCUUGAUAAAGUCCUAUGUUGGAAUGAAACGCGUUGACCAUAGGACUGAGAUAUUUAGCCUCUUUUUUAACAUUUUUCAGAUGUGCUUGAUCACGGAGCAUAUUUUAUCUGAGCCAGCAGAUGUUUGCAGCAGUAUCAAUGGUGUACUUAAAGACCUUCAUAAUUCUAUCUGUUCCAGAUCAGGAGAUUGGAGGGAUUCAGACCACUCUCUCCCUUAGGUUAUAAUGGACCUGUGGACGACUCGCAUCCAAGUUCACUCGACUAUGGCUGAAAUGCGUCCUACGAGGUUUGUUAAACUGACCCAUCUGAUUAAUAUAUUCCUAAGGCUGAUUUAAUUUGUAUAGCACACUAUUUGCCUGUCGGUUCUGCACGCUACAUUUAACUUUCCUAGAUACGUUUGUAUUAUAGUUGUUACUGGAAAAUUUGUUUCAUUGUUAUAACAAUUGCCAAUGGUACUUAGUGGCCACUAUAUUUGAUUUUUACGUUACUUAAUAAAGUACAUUUUACAUUACAAUGGUCUGUUGAAAGAAUAUUUCAUCAAGGUUUUUUCAGUUUAGGGCCCUCUAUUCUUUAGCUAUUUUGUGAAUUACUAAUAGUUGUGGAAUUAAUCUGAUAUUAUAUUUAAGAAUGCAGAUUCCCAAGUGGCCAGCAGAAUGUGAUAAUACGUAGCAGCAGGUUGUAGCAAACUAAAAACAGAAUUGCACUAUUUAUUUUCUUAUUAGAGGAAUUGUAAGAUUUUCUCUUAUUCUGGGAUAGUCACAGCUUAGCUAUUUCAGACUAAAUGUUGCAAUUUGAAUUUCAAAUCACUGCAGUUUUUGUAUUUAGCUUUAGCUUCACGCAGCCACACACACUAUGGACCUGUCAUUUAACAAGACUUGUGAAAAAUGGACGAGGAAUUGCAUAUUUCCCAUAUAAUCCCUUUUCUUGUUAUUUCUU